GACUACCGGGGUAUCUAAGCCCGUUUGCUCCCCACGCUUUCGCGCCUCAGCGUCAGAAACAGGCCAGAGAGCCGCCUUCGCCACUGGUGUUCCUCCCAAUAUCUACGCAUUUCACCGCUACACUGGGAAUUCCACUCCCCUCUCCUGCCCUCAAGUCAUCCAGUUUCAAAGGCAGGCUACCGGUUGAGCCGGUAGUUUUCACCUCUGACUUAAAUAACCGCCUACGCGCCCUUUACGCCCAGUAAUUCCGGACAACGCUCGCCCCCUACGUUUUACCGCGGCUGCUGGCACGUAGUUAGCCGGGGCUUCCUCCUCAGGUACCGUCAUUUUUUUCUUCCCUGAAGACAGAGUUUUACGACCCGAAGGCCUUCCUCACUCACGCGGCGUUGCUCCGUCAGGCUUUCGCCCAUUGCGGAAGAUUCCCCACUGCAGCCCCCCGUAGG
rnacentral:rRNA from 1 species